UGGGGAAUAUUGCGCAAUGGGCGAAAGCCUGACGCAGCGACGCCGCGUGUGGGAGGAAGCCUUUCGGGGUGUAAACCACUGUCAGAGGGGAAGAACCGUGUCUCGUCGAACAGGCGGGGCACCUGACGGUACCCUCAGAGGAAGCGCCGGCUAACUCCGUGCCAGCAGCCGCGGUAAGACGGAGGGCGCAAGCGUUGUUCGGAAUUACUGGGCGUAAAGCGCGGGCAGGUGGUUCGUUAAGUCGUCUGUGAAAAUCCGGGGCUCAACCCCGUGAAAUGCAGGCGAUACUGGCGGACUGGAGAUCGGUAGAGGCUAGCGGAAUUCCUGGUGUAGCGGUGGAAUGCGUAGAUAUCAGGAAGAACACCCGUGGCGAAGGCGGCUAGCUGGGCCGAGUCUGACACUCAUCCGCGAAAGCGUGGGGAGCAAACAGGAUUAGAUACCCCCGUAGUCC
rnacentral:rRNA from 1 species